rnacentral:rRNA from 1 species
GACGAACGCUGGCGGCGUGCCUAAUACAUGCAAGUCGAACGAGAGCGACCGGUGCUUGCACUGGUCAAUCUAGUGGCGAAAGGGUGAGUAACACGUGGGUAACCUGCCCAUCAGAGGGGGAUAACAUCCGGAAACGGAUGCUAAAACCGCAUAGGUCUUCGAACCGCAUGGUUUGAAGAGGAAAAGAGGCGCAAGCUUCUGCUGAUGGAUGGACCCGCGGUGCAUUAGCUAGUUGGUGAGGUAACGGCUCACCAAGGCCGUGAUGCAUAGCCGACCUGAGAGGGUGAUCGGCCACAUUGGGACUGAGACACGGCCCAAACUCCUACGGGAGGCAGCAGUAGGGAAUCUUCCGCAAUGGACGCAAGUCUGACGGAGCAACGCCGCGUGAGUGAAGAAGGUUUUCGGAUCGUAAAACUCUGUUGUUAGAGAAGAACAAGUGCUAGAGUAACUGUUAGCGCCUUGACGGUAUCUAACCAGAAAGCCACGGCUAACUACGUG